UUUGUUUUCUUGUUUAACUUUUUUUUUUUUUGUUAUUUGUUUGAAUGCUUGCUUUCAGAUUGCUGCAGAAUUCCACAGAAAUACUAAUAUCAGCUUGAAAAACAAGUGCUAUGCAGAACUGGACAACCAUACUCCUCGACUGAUUGCUGUUAAGCUGCAGAAGCACUGAGAAGCAUCUUUAGUGCCUUUGAUCUUGUGGAUCACUACGAUAUUGACAAUAGACGUACAGCUGCACUUCGAGCCCUCCCUGUCUACUUGCACGAAGAUGACUCUGUGUUUUUCAAGAUGUGGAAUACUGAAGAGGUGGAUGAGCCAGACAUUGCAGAUUCAGCUGUAGCUCUUGUCAGCAUGGUGAAUGGAGACUCGACUUCCACUGUUCAGUUUGACCCUGCUGGGAUUGCUAUUGUUCUAAGGGACAUUUCCAGGUUGGCUGAUGAUUUUCUUUUGAUGUUUGGUUUGAUAUAUGCAUUACAUCUCAACUACCCCAAAGAGCUGACACACACAUUUAAAGGAUUAGUUCACUUUAAAAAAAACUUUUGCUGAUACUCACCCCCAUGUCAUCCAAGAUGUCCAUGUCUUUCUUUCUUCAGUCGAAAAGAAAUUAAGGUUUUUGAUGAAAACAUUCCAGGAUUUUUCUCCGUAUAAUGGACUUCAAUGGGGUCCAAACGGCUCAAGGUCCAAAUGACAGUUUCAGUACAGCUUCAAAGGGCUUUAAACGGUACCAGACGAUGAAUAAGGG